GACAUUUUUUUCUUUUACCGUUUUCUUUUUUUCGGAAGAAAGGGGAGAUAUUACGUGCGCUAACCGUUGGCGUUUUAAAUAGAAAUUAUUGCAGCGUGAAGUAGGCUGAAAGUGUCACCGGGAUCUCCAAUUGGGUGUACAGUGUACUUUUGUGUGUAUGUGUGUCUCUCGUCCCAUCUUCCGGGUGGUAUUAAUUAUCACUGGGCAAAAUGAGGAAGAGAAGACAGUAGUGAGUGGAGUGGAGUUAGUGGGUUAAGAGGACAUCGGAAGAUAAUCCUGGUCAACCCUCAAUACCACGGAGGUAUCGAGGUGAGGAACAGCGCAAGAAGUGUUAAGCCAGAUCCGGAAACCUAUUUCCUACGGAGGAAAAUCGGCGGAGGCAAAAAACUUCGGUCUGAUCGGAAAAGUCUUCGGAGAGAGUCUUCUGUGUCUACACGGUUACCCUCCACAACGAGAAAGUAGUCACCUGAGGAUCCGGGAAUUGUGCCACCCGACGUAAUCAGCGUGCGCAUCACCACUCAAUUGGAAUCUGCAAGAGCCCACCCUGGCACAAAGAAUCCCAGCAUCUUGCUAGUCCCUCAGAAUUUGCGGGAGCCCCAAUACGGAGAGGGAGAAAGAACGGCCACCGGACUCAAAUAAGCGAACAAACCUUAAGUAGAACUCUGUGUUGUAUAAUUGUUUAAAUUUCGGUAGAAUAUAACCUAUUUUAUAUGGGCUUUAACUGAGGGUCUCUUCGGGAAAUCAAAGGGGGUUUGUGAUUAAUUCUGCUGAGGAAUAAAGUGUUUAAUUGUGGAAAUUGAA